GCCCGAUUCCUACCGGUCAGAUAUUGCCGUCAAGGUGUAGCAUACUAUAUUGCCAAAUAUUUAUUAUGAGAAUCAUAAUAAUUUCAUUUAUUAUUCUCACCCACCCCCCCCCCCCGGUCUGACAUUGGGAAUUAGCAGAUUCCUACCGGUGAGACAUUGGAAUUAGCAGAUUCCUACCGGUGAGAUAUUGGCAAUUAGCAGAUUCCUACCAGUGAGAUAUUGGCAAUUAGCAGCAUUCCUAGGGUUUAGAUUGAUACUGUCGAUUCCAACAGGGUACUUCUCUGAAAUCUGAUUCCUACAGGUAACAUUUUUACCAGAGCUCAUCCAUAGGGGGGGUGCGGAUAAUAAAUGGAAUGACCCAUAACAAUGUCAACAAUACAAUUUCGCUUGAUUUUCAAAGGCCAUAAAUCGCUAGAAUACUGGUGUUUAGUAACAGAUUUGGCAUCCGUAAGUACAAUUUCUUACGCUGAAUCGAACGGUGGUAUUUUUAUCCUUAUUGCGCCAAUAAUAGGCAUUACAAAUACAAUAUCAUAUUUCACACUGAGUACACUUGAACACUACAGUUUUCAUGGACUGUUGUUCGAUAAUUUUUAUAUUGAUAUGACACCAAUAUGCUUCUCAUAAAGUAGUUAUUUAUUAAAACUACGUUGUGCAGUUUAAAUUAUAACCAUUUACCUUGAAAUUGUCUUUGGCUCGUUUAUAUUCAGAUUCAGUAUAUUAUGUUUAUGCCUGUCGUGCACGGGAAUUCAACGAACCAAAUUGGGCUAUUCCAUUUAAUAUCCGUACCCCCCCUGUCGAGGAUCCCUGGAAUUCUUCAGGGGUAAAGGGUUUUGAGCUUGGAAUUCUUCAGGGGUAAAGUGUUUUGAGCUUGGAAUUCUUCAGGGGUAAAGUGUUUUGAGUUUGGAAUUCUUCAGGGGUAAAUGGUUUUGAGCUUGGAAUUCUUCAGGGGUAAAGGGUUUUGAGCUUGGAAUUCUUCAGGGGUAAAGAGGUUUGAGAUUGAAAUUUUUCAGAGCUUGGAAUUCUUCAGGGGUGAAGGGUUUUGAGCUUGGAAUUCUUCAGGGGUAAAAGGUUUUGAGCUUGAAAUUUUUCAGGGGUAAAGGGUUUUGAGUUUGGAAUUCUUUAGGGGUGAUGGGUUUUGAGCUUGGAAUUCUUCAGGGGUAAAAGGUUUUGAGCUUGGAAUUCCUCAGGGGUAAAGGGUUUUGAGCUUGGAAUUUUGGAAUUCUUCAGGGGUAAAAGGUUUUGAGCUUGGAAUUCUUCAGGGGUAAAGAGUUUUGAGCUUGGAAUUUUGGAAUUCUUCAGGGGUAAACAGUUUUGAGCUUGGAAUUCUUCAGGGGUAUGACAAUGAAAAACAUGUAUCCUCGACAGGGGGGUACGGAUAUUAAAUGGAAUAGCCCAUUUCGAAUUUUCAGAGUCGUGCACCAAGAAAUACGCAUUAAAUAAACUAGCAAGAACGUCCAGAGUUAGACACAAUGCAAAAUGCAUAGGAAACAGGUACAAUUGGUUCAACAUUUUCACGAAAUUGUUUGAAACAUUUUGCCCGCUGAGGCCCCACUCCACGAAACACGAAAGGCCCCGCCAUUUUGAAAAGGAUCAAGCAGCUCAUUAAUAUUCUAUUUUGUGGCUAUCGACGAUUGGAGAUUGGACAUUGGAGAUUGCCGAUCCAAGAACAGAGCCGAAACCUAUACUCGUCUGGGGCACAGGUGCCCCAGCGAGUAAAAAGCAAGCAACGCAGUCAGUAAUUGCCAAAUUUGCAAGUGCUCAUUUUCAACUAAAAUCGGAACAGGCAAAUUAGGACGAAUUUCAACAGAAAACCAGUCUCAAACUUCAAAACGUGAGAGAAGUCGUGCGACCACAUUAGCAUUUAUAUUUAUGUGUGCUUCGCUGUCGCCAUUGGCAUUGUUAUAAAUAAAUUGUCUCACUUAUCAGAUCGUGUGUGCAUGCAAUCCUUGUUGGCGGC